UACGGAGGGUGCAAGCGUUAUCCGGAUUCACUGGGUUUAAAGGGUGCGUAGGCGGGUUGGUAAGUCCGUGGUGAAAUCUCCAAGCUUAACUUGGAAACUGCCGUGGAUACUAUCAAUCUUGAAUAUAGUGGAGGUGAGCGGAAUAUGUCAUGUAGCGGUGAAAUGCUUAGAUAUGACAUAGAACACCCAUUGCGAAGGCAGCUCGCUACACUAUUAUUGACGCUGAGGCACGAAAGCGUGGGGAGCAAACAGG
rnacentral:rRNA from 1 species